UACGGAGGGUGCAAGCGUUAUCCGGAUUCACUGGGUUUAAAGGGUGCGUAGGCGGGUAAGUAAGUCCGUGGUGAAAUCUCUGAGCUUAACUCAGAAACUGCCGUGGAUACUAUUUGCCUUGAAUAUUGUGGAGGUGAGCGGAAUAUGUCAUGUAGCGGUGAAAUGCUUAGAUAUGACAUAGAACACCAACGGCGAAGGCAGCUCGCUGGGACGGUACUGACGCUGAGACGCGAAAGCGUGGGGAGCGAACAGG
rnacentral:rRNA from 1 species